UCAAUGCAUUGAAAGUGACUA
rnacentral:miRNA from 3 species